GAUGAACGCUGGCGGCGUGCCUAAUACAUGCAAGUCGAGCGAACAGACGAGGAGCUUGCUCCUCUGACGUUAGCGGCGGACGGGUGAGUAACACGUGGAUAACCUACCUAUAAGACUGGGAUAACUUCGGGAAACCGGAGCUAAUACCGGAUAAUAUAUUGAACCGCAUGGUUCAAUAGUGAAAUACGGUUUUGCUGUCACUUAUAGAUGGUUCCGCGCCGCAUUAGCUAGUUGGUAAGGUAACGGCUUACCAAGGCAACGAUGCGUAGCCGACCUGAGAGGGUGAUCGGCCACACUGGAACUGAGACACGGUCCAGACUCCUACGGGAGGCAGCAGUAGGGAAUCUUCCGCAAUGGGCGAAAGCCUGACGGAGCAACGCCGCGUGAGUGAUGAAGGUCUUCGGAUCGUAAAACUCUGUUAUUAGGGAAGAACAAAUGUGUAAGUAACUAUGCACGUCUUGACGGUACCUAAUCAGAAAGCCACGGCUAACUACGUG
rnacentral:rRNA from 1 species